rnacentral:lncRNA from 1 species
ACAACACCCACAUAACACCUUGAUCUCUCUUCAACCCAAAACUCACAUAGAACCCCAUUUUCAUCAAACAACCAACCAAAAUGAAAAGAAAAACGUGAAUAACAGCAGCAAUGAAAGAGGAAACAAAAAUCUAAAGUCACCCAAACCCAACAACCACCAUGGAAAAGCAAAGACAAGCUUAAGAGCUCAAGCUUCAAACAUCAACAACAAGGAAAUGGAAGAAGGAAUGAAAGGAUUUUCACCACCAAUGAGUUAAGACAACCAACAGUAAAUCAAGGGAAGAAGAAAAUCUGCAUCAAUUCAUUGAAAAUGGUCCAAAACCGUGGCACCAAGCAAGCACCCAUGAGAGCAUGUUCAAACAAGAGAAACCCUAGGAGAAUGUAAGCCGAAAACGUAGUAUAUGGGUUUCUAAGUGUGUGGCUCGGUAUUCACACCCUAUAUGACCAAGAAUUACAAUUUGGUAGGGUCCACACACUACAAGUCAGCCCUAAAGAGAUGCCACAUG